rnacentral:rRNA from 1 species
AUUGAACGCUGGCGGCAGGCCUAACACAUGCAAGUCGAACGGUAACAGGAAGAAGCUUGCUUCUUUGCUGACGAGUGGCGGACGGGUGAGUAAUGUCUGGGAAACUGCCUGAUGGAGGGGGAUAACUACUGGAAACGGUAGCUAAUACCGCAUAACGUCGCAAGACCAAAGAGGGGGACCUUCGGGCCUCUUGCCAUCGGAUGUGCCCAGAUGGGAUUAGCUAGUAGGUGGGGUAACGGCUCACCCAGGCGACGAUCCCUAGCUGGUCUGAGAGGAUGACCAGCCACACUGGAACUGAGACACGGUCCAGACUCCUACGGGAGGCAGCAGUGGGGAAUAUUGCACAAUGGGCGCAAGCCUGAUGCAGCCAUGCCGCGUGUAUGAAGAAGGCCUUCGGGUUGUAAAGUACUUUCAGCGGGGAGGAAGGGAGUAAAGUUAAUACCUUGACUCAUUGACGUUACCCGCAGAAGAAGCACCGGCUAACUCCGUG